UAGAACAGUGAUAAAAAAUGUUGGCAUAGGAGUUUUUCAUGUUUGGUUGCUACAUGUCUGGAGCUCUGAGUCAAC
rfam:Canis lupus familiaris chromosome 8, whole genome shotgun sequence.